rnacentral:rRNA from 1 species
CUGGCCGGCAGGCCUAACACAUGACAAGUCGAACGCGUGCCUUCGGGCACGAGUGGCGGACGGGUGAGUAGCGCGUGGGAAUUUGCCUUGGGGUACGGAAUAACCGCGGGAAACUGCGGCUAAUACCGUAUACGUCCUUCGGGAGAAAGAUUUAUCGCCCUGAGAUGAGCCCGCGUCCGAUUAGGUAGUUGGUGGGGUAACGGCUCACCAAGCCUACGAUCGGUAGCUGGUCUGAGAGGAUGAUCAGCCACACUGGGACUGAGACACGGCCCAGACUCCUACGGGAGGCAGCAGUGGGGAAUAUUGGACAAUGGGGGAAACCCUGAUCCAGCCAUGCCGCGUGAGUGAAGAAGGCCUUAGGGUUGUAAAGCUCUUUCGGUGGUGACGAUGAUGACGGUAGCCACAGAAGAAGCCCCGGCUAACUCCGUGCCAGCAGCCGCGGUAAUACGGAGGGGGCAAGCGUUGUUCGGAAUUACUGGGCGUAAAGGGCGCGUAGGCGGAUGAUCAAGUCGGAGGUGAAAGCCCUGGGCUCAACCUAGGAGGUGCCUUUGAAACUGAUUGUCUUGAGUACGGGAGAGGAUAGCGGAAUUCCCAGUGUAGAGGUGAAAUUCGUAGAUAUUGGGAAGAACACCAGUGGCGAAGGCGGCUAU